CGGGCCCUCUGUGAGCCUCUGUCCGCCAAGGCGAUGGAGCUGUGUUUGGAGUCCCUCGCCACUGCCUUCAGAGAAGGUGACAGAGGGCCAUGUCUGAAACAUUCUCCCACAACCAGGAACCCUCAGCAGCCGCUGAAGAGGAAAGGCAGUUAAAUGGAAAGACUUCUGAGCAAGUGGAGGAAAAGUCACGUGUGACCUAGGGAGGGGCUCCCACAGGAAGGGGCAAUGCCCUUGCCCUGUUCACCUAGCCUCCAGGUGGCUUCCCACUUGAAAUUUCAGAGGAUGGCAGAAACCUACUUACAAGGAAAUGAAAGAGGGCACAGCAACCUUAAGACCAGAGCAGCCCACGAUAUUUUUUAAUGAGGGCAAAAAUAGAAGACUUGCAAAAGACCCCUGAAAAUAAUGCCUGGAAGCUGCGAAACAUCAGACUGACACCGCACAAAAGAGGUCCAGCUGAGCAGGAGAAAAGCUUGAGAAGCAUCCAGAACAAUGUAGGUGGAGAGGCUAAGAAGAAAGAGGAGCCCACAUGGAAUGAAUAACCAAGGUCGGGACAGAGGAAGGUUCGCCAGAACUGGGAGGGCUGAAAUUGGACAUUGAGAUAAAUUAAAGAGUGUUCUUUAAAACUGUCAAGACUUUGGCUGGUCAAUAAGUAAACUGCAAAC
rnacentral:lncRNA from 1 species